CUAGCAUAGGCUUGCUUUACUAUUCUGUCUGAGUAAAAAGGACAUUCUGUAUACAUACUAGUAGUGUCAACAUGGAUCAGCAAUUCUACUGGUAUAAUGCUAGCACUGGGAAUAACAUUGAUACACAGAAUUCAAAUGCAUAUAUAUUUCGUCCCAACAGUUCAAUGACAUUUCCUGUUGACAGUGGUGAUGAUUAUGCUGAAAUUACAUCCUGUUACAGGUGAGUCAUUGUCUGAGGUUCAGUGGGAUAUCUGAGGGGGACCUACAGGAGCUUGGGCCCCCAUAAUUUUUAUUGAUAAUGAUAUUCAUUGUUUAUUUUAUUACCUACCACCUGGUAAUAAAGUGAACCACUCCGUAAUAAUCAUUUACAAUACAUUGCACAGCAGCAAUGAGGCAAAAACAAAACAAUCGUUUUAUAUUAAUAAUUGUUGAAAAUGUAAGAAUUUGAUACUUUAAAAUAUGCAAAAUGAAAAUAAUCUAUUUUGGUACACUAUACAAGCACCAAAAAGGGUGUGUUCAAAAUUUCAGCACGCUUUGCGUGCCACUUGCCUCUGGGCCCCCUCAUCAUUUCCUUCCCAGCUACACUCCUGCUGAGGUUAGACAAGUAUUCUCAUCAUGGGUGUCUUAACUCAAUGUUAGGUUAUUAGACUCUACAAGAACAUACCAACAAUUGAGCUGGAGUACACUGUAGGACCAAUACAAAUAAAAUGCAUCAUUCAUUGCAAAUACAUGUACAUUAGGAGAAACUAUCAUCUGACAUGGACCUAUAACAAGACAGAGCCAAUAGCAGGAACUACUAUCCAGUUAAUAGUAGAAUUU
rnacentral:lncRNA from 1 species